rnacentral:rRNA from 1 species
AUUGAACGCUGGCGGCAGGCCUAACACAUGCAAGUCGAACGGUAACAGGAAGAAGCUUGCUUCUUUGCUGACGAGUGGCGGACGGGUGAGUAAUGUCUGGGAAACCGCCUGAUGGAGGGGGAUAACUACUGGAAACGGUAGCUAAUACCGCAUAACGUCGCAAGACCAAAGAGGGGGACCUUCGGGCCUCUUGCCAUCGGAUGUGCCCAGAUGGGAUUAGCUAGUAGGUGGGGUAACGGCUCACCUAGGCGACGAUCCCUAGCUGGUCUGAGAGGAUGACCAGCCACACUGGAACUGAGACACGGUCCAGACUCCUACGGGAGGCAGCAGUGGGGAAUAUUGCACAAUGGGCGCAAGCCUGAUGCAGCCAUGCCGCGUGUAUGAAGAAGGCCUUCGGGUUGUAAAGUACUUUCAGCGGGGAGGAAGGGAGUAAAGUUAAUACCUUUGCUCAUUGACGUUACCCGCAGAAGAAGCACCGGCUAACUCCGUG